rnacentral:rRNA from 1 species
GCACAAGCGGUGGAGCAUGUGGAUUAAUUCGAUGCAACGCGAAAAACCUUACCUACCCUUGACAUGUACGGAAGUUUGCUGAGAGGCAGAUGUGCCUGAAAGGGAACCGUAACACAGGUGCUGCAUGGCUGUCGUCAGCUCGUGUCGUGAGAUGUUGGGUUAAGUCCCGCAACGAGCGCAACCCUUGCUAUUAAUUGCCAUCAUUGAGUUGGGCACUUUAAUAGGACUGCUGGUGAUAAACCGGAGGAAGGUGGGGAUGACGUCAAGUCCUCAUGGCCCUUAUGGGUAGGGCUUCACACGUCAUACAAUGGCCGGUACAGUGGGAAGCCAGGCAGUGAUGCCGAGCUGAUCCUCAAAAGCCGUCUCAGUUCGGAUUGUUCUCUGCAACUCGAGAGCAUGAAGGCGGAAUCGCUAGUAAUCGCGGAUCAGAAUGCCGCGGUGAAUACGUUCCCGGGC